rnacentral:rRNA from 1 species
AUUGAACGCUGGCGGAAUGCUUUACACAUGCAAGUCGAACGGCAGCACGGGGGCAACCCUGGUGGCGAGUGGCGAACGGGUGAGUAAUACAUCGGAACGUGCCCAUGUCGUGGGGGAUAACGUAGCGAAAGCUACGCUAAUACCGCAUACGAUCUAAGGAUGAAAGCGGGGGACCGUAAGGCCUCGCGCGAUUGGAGCGGCCGAUGGCAGAUUAGGUAGUUGGUGGGGUAAAGGCUCACCAAGCCUGCGAUCUGUAGCUGGUCUGAGAGGACGACCAGCCACACUGGGACUGAGACACGGCCCAGACUCCUACGGGAGGCAGCAGUGGGGAAUUUUGGACAAUGGGCGCAAGCCUGAUCCAGCCAUUCCGCGUGCAGGAUGAAGGCCUUCGGGUUGUAAACUGCUUUUGUACGGAACGAAACGGUGAUCUCUAAUACAGGUUGCUAAUGACGGUACCGUAAGAAUAAGCACCGGCUAACUACGUGCCAGCAGCCGCGGUAAUACGUAGGGUGCAAGCGUUAAUCGGAAUUACUGGGCGUAAAGCGUGCGCAGGCGGUGAUGUAAGACAGGUGUGAAAUCCCCGGGCUUAACCUGGGAACUGCACUUGUGACUGCAUCGCUGGAGUACGGCAGAGGGGGAUGGAAUUCCGCGUGUAGCAG